CGCCAAAUUUCUAGACUUCUAUGGUUUUAUGAUACAAGACAGAUUGAAGAAAGAAGAAAAGAAAGAAAAGAAAAAAAAGAAAACAAAAAUUAGCCUAAAAUAUCACGUAAAAGAAGAUGGAAUGAGUUUGAAGAAAACAAAAAAAAAAAAAGAAAAAGAAAAAGAAAAGGAAAAAAAAUAUCCGGAAAGAAGUUCAAUUCAAAUUAGUCAAGGAGAGUUGAUCAGUUAGUUUAAUAUAUUUCUUUGGGACUUGGUCAUUUGUGCUUUCUUCCUGGCUAAGUGAAAGAAAAAGAAAGAAAGAAAGAAAGAAAGAAAGAAAGAAAGAAAGACAUUUUGGUAUGGACAAAACAUUAUCAGUCGUUGUCGUCGUCGCCAUCAUCUAAGGCAGUUUGUGUGACGGUACCUCGAUGAAAAACUUUCCUUCUGAGUUCUGAGGCCUGCUAUCCUCAGUUAAGGUCAAUGACCGAAAAAUGACCUGCAUCUCUUCGGAUUAAAUAAAUGGAUUGAUGAUAAAAUUUUGGAAGACCGACAGAGAGACAGAGAGACAGAGAGAAGAGGAAAAGAAAGAGAGAUCUAAAGAACUAAAGAACAAAAAGGAAGAAGAAGAAGAAGAAGAAGAAGAAGAAAAAGGAUAGAGUGAGGGUUACGAAAAUUUCGAAGAGGACGACUUGAUAAUGCAUCAGAACUCGUUGCACCUGUGGAGAGUACAUACUGAUUCGGGCUAACUCCUCUCUUGCGCUUACUUUCUUAGCGUAUGCAUUAAACGCACGUACAUCAGCCUGGGGCCCCAACAGCUUCUCUCUCUUUCUCUCUCUCUCUCUCUCUCUCUCUCUCUCUCUCUCUUUCUCUUCGGUUAGGUUGGUGCUCGGACUUGCUUGCACCGGCAAUCACGAUAAUCGUGAAGUUUAUCGAGAAGAAGCUUGGCUGUGAUUAACGAGGAUCGCUUUAAAUCUUCUGAGGAAAGGAAGACUACGUGAUAUGGUUGUGAUGGUCCGUUUGAUUCCGAAUGUAUGUAAUGCAUGAAGUCAAAGAAGAAAAAAAAAAAAACAAGAAGAAAAAAAAAAAGAAAGAAAGAAAUAGAGAGAAGAUCGUCAGGAAGGAUUAUUUUCUUCAUGAUUUCUGAUCCGUUGCCAAACGGCGUUAAUGGAACAAGACCGGCAGCCGUCCGGUUUCAGUGCCGCUAUUGCGCGCGCGCUUGGAAUAACCCUUCAAAAUACUUUGGCGUAAAUUUAUCAGUGACGUCCGCCAAGUUGAAAAAUAUACCUACCUUCUCGUCUCUGCCAUUUCUCGCUACUGCUUUUGCUACCAAGAUCAACGUUAUAAUAUCGGAUUCGUCCAAAUUCAAUGGGGGAAAAAAAAAAAAAAAAAAAAAAAAAAAAAUAAUAAUAAUAAUAAUAAUAAUAAUAAUAAUAAUGACAAGAAAAAAGGAGUAGGAAAAAUAAGAAGAAGAAGAAGAUAUUUUUGUUACACCAAUCACAUUUCAAAUCUUCAAACAACAGGAUAAAUCACUUAAGUUAUUUAUUAACUUAUUAAUUUUAAUGGGAAAAUAAAUGGAAAGAAGGUAGAUUAAUAACGAAUAUACACUUAUAUAAUUAUGUAACACAUAUUAAACAUAAUAAUACGGAUAAAAGUUGUGGAAGCAGAUUGAUUACGCAACGUUUAAUUCAUAGCUCAAACAGAUUUAUUAAACACACGAACGAAUUUUCAAAUGAUAACUCACGUUCAGAAUGACUGAGGCAGCUUAACAGAACUCAAAUAAUAUCGUAGUUAUCACAUUAUGUGCGAAGAACAAGAGCUCUUUGAGAUAAAAAAGAAGAGAGAGAGGAAGAAAGAAAAAGAGAGAGAGAGAGAGAGAGAGAGAGAGAGAGAGAAAAUAAUAUGUUAUUAUGAAGGUAUAAUUAAGAUCAUUAAUCGUUGCGAUCUCAAGUCGUCGCGAUGUUGCACCAGAACAACCCAUGAACCCUUAACAGAGAAAAGAGAAAAAUAAAAGGAAAAGAAAAAAAAAAGAAGGGAAAAAAGAAAAGAAAUAAAUAGGAAGAAGAGAUAAAAGGGUGAGAGUGAGAAAGGGGGAGGAUAAUGGCGACGAGGUCGAAGAGGGUGAAUAUUCUUUUCAGGCAGCUUAACAUCCAGCACACCACUUCGCAUAUUUAAAAUGCAAAUCCGUACGCCAAUAAAUCUCUCGUACAUGGUUCGAGCGGUUUGUGCGAGGGAGAGAAUCCCUCUUCUUCUUCUUCUUCUUCUUCUUCUUCGUCUUCUUCUUAUACUUAUUCUUAUUCUUAUUCUUCUUUGGAUCCUCUUUCGGAUCCUUUAUUUCUCGAGAGCGUCCUCCUCAUCUUCAAGAGACGUCAGGAUUCCUUCUCUCGCCGUGACCAUUAUUAACCCGCAGUUAAUUGAAUCGCCACGGCCUCAUGCUCGAGAAAUUUUUAAACGAGACUCCUCCGUAAUUCUUCAAAAAGAAAGAAAAAAAGAGAAAGAGAGAGAGAGAGAGAGAGAGAGAGAGAGAGAGGCGGAAGAUGACGAAACAAUCGGAUGAUAAAAUUGAAAACAAAAAAGUAAAUUUAUUUAGAUAAAGAGAAAGAAAGAGAGAGAGAGAGAGGGAGAGAGAAGGAGAAAGACUGGAGUCUCUCAAAAAGUGACUCCUUUCGUUAUAGUGUUCACAUCUCUUCAGAAAAUUGUAUUUAAUCCUUUAUUUAUGUACUCACAUAAUUUAGCUUUUUCAAGAAGCAAAACUCGAGAUUGUAAACAUUUUAUUAUUCGCAUAUAUCUGUCGACAUAUGUAUUAUAUAUUUAUACAGAAAAAAAUAGAAAGAAAAAAAAAAAAAAGAGAGAAACGCAUCUCAACGAACGCGUUUCCGAUUCUCCCAUCGUUGGAAUGUUAAAUCGAAGACGUAGUUACGCAACACAUCCGAAUUCUUUUCGAGCAAGGUCACAGAUCUAGAAUGUGGAGGAAGAGUGAGGGCCUUUUUGGCUUCUACGUGGAAUAUCUUUGAAACGAAAGGAAAAAGAAAAAAAAAAAAAGAAAGAAAGAGAAAAAAAAUACGAGAGAAUGUAAACGUGAAUGGUUCGGA